rnacentral:rRNA from 1 species
AUUGAACGCUGGCGGCAUGCUUUACACAUGCAAGUCGAACGGUAACAGGUUAAGCUGACGAGUGGCGAACGGGUGAGUAAUGCAUCGGAACGUGCCCGGUCGUGGGGGAUAACGCAGCGAAAGCUGCGCUAAUACCGCAUACGAUCUGAGGAUGAAAGCGGGGGACCGUAAGGCCUCGCGCGAUCGGAGCGGCCGAUGUCAGAUUAGGUAGUUGGUGGGGUAAAGGCUCACCAAGCCGACGAUCUGUAGCUGGUCUGAGAGGACGACCAGCCACACUGGGACUGAGACACGGCCCAGACUCCUACGGGAGGCAGCAGUGGGGAAUUUUGGACAAUGGGCGCAAGCCUGACCCAGCAAUGCCGCGUGCAGGAAGAAGGCCUUCGGGUUGUAAACUGCUUUUGUACGGAGCGAAAAGGCUCUCUCUAAUACGGAGGGCUCAUGACGGUACCGUAAGAAUAAGCACCGGCUAACUACGUGCCAGCCGCCGCGGUAACAC